rnacentral:rRNA from 1 species
AAUGAACGCUAGCAAUAAGCUUAACACAUGCGAGUGGAACGGGUUUAAAAACAAGAUUUUAUUUAGGUCUUUUUUUAGACUGAGUCGCGAACGGGUGAGUAAAACGUGAGAAUCUGCCUAAUAGCUCGGUAUAAAAACAAUUUGAUCUAUCAACUUGCUUUAAAUCCCGAAUAAAAAAAAGGAUAAAUUCCGCUAUUAGAUGAGCUCGCGCAAGAUUAGGUAGUUGGUAAGAUAAUCGCUUUACCAAGCCCAAGAUCUUUAGCCGGUCUGAGAGGAUGAUCGGCCACAUUGGGACUGAGACACGGCCCAAACACUUUUGAGUGGCAGCAGUGGGGAAUUUUGGACAAUAAACGGAAGUUUGAUCCAGCUAUAUUGCAUAAGGGAAGAAGGCUUUUUGGGUCGUAAACCUUUAAUUUAAGAAAAGAUAAUGACAUACACUUAAAAAGAGUCCUGGCCAAUCUCCGUGCCAGCCGCCGCGGUAACAC